CACGUCAGACUAAAAUUUCUACCAAUCAAAUGCUUCUAAUUUACCACGUCACUUACUCAACACAAAAACUGUCGAUAUGUUUCGUCUUCUCCACUUCUCCAUUUUCUUUGAGCGUUGCCGAUUCUUUCACCUCUCUUUCUUUUCCUCUUAUUUAAUAAAACCUUUCACCAGUGAAUUCAGAACAACUCGAUUUACACAAAUGAGGUUUAUCUGAUGAGUCUGGUUACCUGGUGUUCCCGAUCACGACGCCAUCGAUAACCGGACGUAACCGGAGGACGAGGAGGGUUGGAGAUUAAUAGCAGAAACGAAAUCGAAGAUGAGGAUGAACACGAUGAGGAGGAAGAGGAGGAGGAAGAAGAUCGAGGGGAGGUGUUCCCGAUCACGACGCGAUCGAGAACCGGAUUCUCGAUUGGGCCGAGAUUCUAAUGGCAAUCAAGGAUAAUUCAGGAAACGCGGCUGAUUACGUCGACAACGGAGCUGGUUAGGAGGCGCUGCUCCAGAAUUUAGCGGAAGGAGACGGUGGCGAAGGUGGUGGGAGGAGAAGAGCACCGCUGGCUGCUAAAUCGACGAUUGAGGCGUUGGAGACUUUCGAGGUUUGUUCUGAUGAAGAUGAUGAAGGUUGUUGUUUUCGCUGUGUGUAAACAUGGGAUGGUGAUUGGUGAAACCGUUAAGAAGUUACCGUGUGGGCAUUGUUACCAUGGUAAUUGUAUGUUAAAUAUCUAAUUGAUGUUCUCUCCUCUGAACUCUCUGAUGGUUUCAUGGUAAAAUUAUUUGAUUCAAAUUAAGCACUAAGAUUAGAGCGUUUUGUUUUGUUUUGUUUUGUCUCUGAACAUGAAAAUAAAAAUCUGAUUUGUUAGCAGAAAGCCGUGAUUUUGUGCACUUAUGAUUCAGCAGAGAGAGUCGGAAGGCUUGCUAACAAGGUUUAAUGGGGGAAAGUCAAACCUAAAAAAAUGAAGGUUUUCGUAGGGGUCUCUUACACAACUUCUCUGAACCAUUUGGUUGUUGUGAGGAAACUUAUUGUUCUCUCCUUAAAAAUAUUGCUUCCUCAGUGCGUUUUCCUCUUCCAAAGGUUUUUGUUUUUGUUAUCAUACAUUUUCACUUUUAAUAUUGUUAUCAUUUUUGAGUUUGAGCAGGCUCAAGUAUGAUAAUAUGAAACUGAGGAGACUUCAUGAUAAAAUCCACCAAAAAGAGAAAAGAGGAACAUAGCAGACGUGUAAAAAAAAAGACAAUUGAUAAAAGGUAAAAAUGCUUCCCUUAAUUCAUCACCUCAAGGAUCAGACUGUUGCAAAAUAUAUCAGGAUCGCAUUGCACUGUUUAUCAUCUUUUAUUGUUCCUGCUCAUGUCUUUUUUCUUUACAGGAAGAUAUUGCCCUUGGAGAAUUGUAUACUUUUAGUAAACUCUAAGUAUGCUUUAAGAUUUUCAGGUCUUUUAGUCUGCAAAAGAUAGGAUCCCUACGUUUAACCUUUUAUUAACAAUCUUAUGUUAAAACCCUUGAUUUUUGUGGCAGCUUUCAGUAUGUUUCUGGAAGUAAGCACAAUUCUUCAUCACUCUGAUGUAUUUUGGGUCCGUUGUUCCACGUCUCUAGACUUAUGUUGCAUAAGAAAAGACCUAAAACUCAAUCUUCACUGGUGGUUCUGAUGAGAUGAUGUUAACUCAAAUAUUGUAAGUUAGCAGUGUAACUGUACGCACGGACGUUGCUUGAAACUGCAAGUCUUCCCAUUCAUCUUUACGGUUACUCAAGCUAUUGCAUGUUCAUAUUUUCCCUUUACCUGCUGUCGUUCCUAUAGUUUCUGGUUCGACUUUACUUUGAACCUCUGUAAACUUACACUCUCAUGUAUCUUUUCAGUUACGGUGAAAGCUUUGUGUUCGGAACAUAUUGUGAUGGUUGUAACUGUGUCAAUCGUUCAAACAACGUUGACAAUGAACCUGAAAGAUUGAGAUAUUGAAGCAACUCGGUAAUGGAAUCUAAAUGCGUUCAGGUCGAAAAUUGCUAGCAGUCCGUCCACAUGGGGUUAAAGAUAAAAGAGAGGAUAUUGGUGAAGUUGUGUUGUCACUGUAAGAAAUCAGGAUGUUUUAAGAAGUAUUGUGAGUACUUUCAAGCAAACAUUUUUUGUUCUGGGAACUGCUAAUGCUUGGACUGCAAAAACUUUGAAGGAAGUGAGCAGAGAAAAGCUCUGUUUCAUGGUGAAAAUGCCAACAAUGUGGCUUAUCUCCACCAAUGAAACCAUUACUGGAGCUGUCGGCCCACUGGCUUUCUCCUUUGACACCCAAGUGAAAGUUUAUAGCGACUCCAAGAAUCUAAUCACGAAAAGCUACUUUACCUGAUUUUGAGGUUCAACUUUAUCAGCAUUUAAGUCGGCUUUCUGCUCAGUGCAGUGUAUCUUCUGGAACAUGGCAAAUAAGCAUGGAAUGUUGUUUCAUCCUCCCGAAUCUUCAGUCAGAAUUUUAUUCUGUUCUUCAAUCCCUAAGGUCUCAUCCUGAUAAAGUUGUGAAUGUAAUUGCUCGACCAGAUGGGACCUCGAAACAUUUCUCUAUUCCCUACAUAAUUUCCUGUUAAAAUAGUAACGAUUCUAUCAGUAAUAUGCAUUUGGCUUAUUUUUGGUUUAUAAUUUCAUGGAUAUGUUUUGCUCA